rnacentral:rRNA from 1 species
AACGAACGCUGGCGGCAGGCCUAACACAUGCAAGUCGAGCGCCCGCAAGGGAGCGGCAGACGGGCGAGUAACGCGUGGGAAUCUACCCCGAGGUACGGAACAACUCGGCGAAAGCUGAGCUGAUACCGGAUGAUGUCUUCGGACCAAAGAUUUAUCGGCAAAGGAUGAGCCCGCGUAGGAUUAGGUAGUUGGUGGGGUAAAGGCCUACCAAGCCGACGAUCCUUAGCUGGUCUGAGAGGAUGAUCAGCCACACUGGGACUGAGACACGGCCCAGACUCCUACGGGAGGCAGCAGUGGGGAAUAUUGGACAAUGGACGCAAGUCUGAUCCAGCAAUGCCGCGUGAGUGAUGAAGGCCUUAGGGUUGUAAAGCUCUUUUACCAGGGAUGAUAAUGACAGUACCUGGAGAAUAAGCUCCGGCUAACUCCGUGCCAGCCGCCGCGGUAAGAC